GGGAGAUGUUCCUGCAGCAGAUAAGCCAAGUUUAUGAGAUAUAUAUAGAAUAUGUGCUGGCUGUUACAUGAUCUUAUUUCUUGUCUGCAAGAUUCAACUUAGUAUUGUAUCUGCUUCUGUAAUGUUCUGUUUGACAGUGGACAAGACAAAAUAACAAUGAGUCUAUGUUCCACGAUAUCCAAAAUGAUAUGUUUACAUGUUAUGGCUUAUUUUCUUUUUUAAUCAUCAUUAUUGAGAUUUUUUAUUUUUUUUUUG
rnacentral:lncRNA from 1 species